GCUGUUUGAACAUCUGUAUGGACUCUGAUAAAACCACUUCUUUAGGCAGAGAAUUCCACAUCCUUGUUGUUCUUACAGUAAAAAAAAACCUUUUCUUUGCCUUAGACAAAAUCUUCUUUCUUCCAGUCCGGUUUGUGAAUAGAUUUCCACACAAUGGUUUGUAUUGGCACUGAAUAUAUUUGUAUAAUGUUAUCAUAUCCCCUCUGAAGUGAC